AGUGAACGCUGGCGGUAGGCCUAACACAUGCAAGUCGAACGGCAGCACAGUAAGAGCUUGCUCUUACGGGUGGCGAGUGGCGGACGGGUGAGGAAUACAUCGGAAUCUACUUUUUCGUGGGGGAUAACGUAGGGAAACUUACGCUAAUACCACAUACGACCUACGGGUGAAAGCAGGGGAUCUUCGGACCUUGCGCGAUUGAAUGAGCCGAUGUCGGAUUAGCUAGUUGGCGGGGUAAAGGCCCACCAAGGCGACGAUCCGUAGCUGGUCUGGGAGGAUGAUCAGCCACACUGGAACUGAGACACGGUCCAGACUCAGACGGGAGGCAGCAGUGGGGAUUAUGGGAAAAUGGGCGCAAGCCUGAUCCAGCCAUACCGCGUGGGUGAAGAAGGACUUCGGGUUGUAAAGCCUUUUUGUUGUGAAAGAAAAGCAGCAGGUUAAUACCGCGCUGUUCUGACGGUACCCAAAGAAUAAGCACCGGCUAACUUCGUG
rnacentral:rRNA from 1 species